rnacentral:rRNA from 1 species
GAGCGCCCCGCAAGGGGAGCGGCAGACGGGAGAGUAACACGUGGGAACGUACCCUUCAGUUCGGAACAACCCCAGGGAAACUUGGGCUAAUACCGAAUACGUCCGCAAGGAGAAAGAUUUAUCGCUGAAGGAUCGGCCCGCGUCUGAUUAGCUUGUUGGUGAGGUAACGGCUCACCAAGGCUACGAUCAGUAGCUGGUCUGAGAGGAUGAUCAGCCUCACUGGGACUGAGACACGGCCCAGACUCCUACGGGAGGUAGCAGUGGGGAAUAUUGGACAAUGGGCGCAAGCCUGAUCCAGCCAUGCCGCGUGGGUGAUGAAGGCCCUAGGGUUGUAAAGCCCUUUCGGCGGGGAAGAUAAUGACGGUACCCGCAGAAGAAGCCCCGGCUAACUUCGUG